GGGAGAAAACGAUUGUGUUACCUCAGAGCAGCGACAGUAUAGGAGCUCAGCUUCUUACUGCUGCUAAGGAACUGUCCAAACUAAAGGGAGGGGUGGAGCCAAAGAGCUUGUCACCGAGGCAGUGUGUGAUC